rnacentral:rRNA from 1 species
UACGGGAGGCAGCAGUGGGGAAUAUUGCACAAUGGGCGCAAGCCUGAUGCAGCCAUGCCGCGUGUAUGAAAAAGGCCUUCGGGUUGUAAAGUACUUUCAGUCGUGAGGAAGGUGUUAAGGUUAAUAACCUUAGCAAUUGACGUUAGCGACAGAAGAAGCACCGGCUAACUCCGUGCCAGCAGCCGCGGUAAUACGGAGGGUGCGAGCGUUAAUCGGAAUUACUGGGCGUAAAGGGCACGCAGGCGGUUAAUUAAGUUGGAUGUGAAUCCCCGGGCUUAACCUGGGAAUGGCAUUCAAGACUGGUUAGCUAGAGUCUUGUAGAGGGGGUAGAAUUCCAUGUGUAGCGGUGAAAUGCGUAGAGAUGUGGAGGAAUACCGGUGGCGAAGGCGGCCCCUGGACAAAGACUGACGCUCAUGUGCGAAAGCGUGGGGAGCAAACAGGGAUUAGAUA